CCUACGGGACGCACCAGUAAGGAAUAUUGGUCAAUGGGCGGAAGCCUGAACCAGCCAUGCCGCGUGCAGGAUGACUGCCCUAUGGGUUGUAAACUGCUUUUGUCCAGGAAUAAACCUAUCUACGUGUAGAUAGCUGAAUGUACUGGAAGAAUAAGGAUCGGCUAACUCCGUGCCAGCAGCCGCGGUAAUACGGAGGAUCCGAGCGUUAUCCGGAUUUAUUGGGUUUAAAGGGUGCGUAGGCGGCCUAUUAAGUCAGGGGUGAAAUACGGUGGCUCAACCAUCGCAGUGCCUUUGAUACUGAUGGGCUUGAAUCCAUUUGAAGUGGGCGGAAUAAGACAAGUAGCGGUGAAAUGCAUAGAUAUGUCUUAGAACUCCGAUUGCGAAGGCAGCUCACUAAGCUGGUAUUGACGCUGAUGCACGAAAGCGUGGGGAUCGAACAGGAUUAGAUACCCUGGUAGUC
rnacentral:rRNA from 1 species